CUCCUGGAGUGACGGGUACACUGUGGGGACCGCCGCUGCUAAAGCGGAGGAAGGAAUGGGCAACGGUAGGUCAGUAUGCCCCGAAUAUCCCGGGCUACACGCGAGCUACAAUGGUUGGUACAAUGGGUAUCUACCCGAAAGGGGACGGGAAUCUCCUAAAACCAAUCUUAGUUCGGAUUGAGGGCUGCAACUCGCCCUCAUGAAGCUGGAAUCCGUAGUAAUCGCGUUUCAACAGAACGCGGUGAAUACGUCCCUGCUCCUU
rnacentral:rRNA from 1 species